rnacentral:sRNA from 1 species
AAAACAUUCUCAGGUUUAGGAACAGUGGGGGUUUUCUGAGAGUCCAGAGAGUCUAAAACCAGGCAGAAGUUAGAGAUACCUGGGUUUGGCUGGGCCCCGACACAUUGGGGCUGGGAUUUUCUCCUUUCCUUCCCGCUUUGUGUCCUAGCAGAAUUGUAAGAUCUUUCCUCUUCCGUUGUGGAGGCUGGAGGUAAAGGGUAGCUUCUUUUUUUUUUUUUUUUUUUUUUUUUUUUUUGAGACGGGUUUUCGCUCUUGUCACCCAGGCUGGAGUGCAGUGGCACAAUCUCAGCUCUCUGCAACCUCCACCUCCCGGGUUCAAGUGAUUCUCCUGUCUCAGCCUCCCGAGUAGCUGGAAUUACAGGUGAUCCGCCUAUAUAGGCCUCUCAAAGUGUUGGGAUUACAGGCGUUAGCCACUCAUCCGCCCACGUCGGCCUCUCAAAGUGUUGGGAUUACAGGCGUGAGCCACCGCGCCCGGCCUAGUGAGGAGUAGAGGAUUAGGGAAGGGGACACCGGAGCCACUCCCAAGGGAAUGAAGGCUUUCUGAACCUGGUGUGAUGAUAGAG